AACGAACGCUGGCGGCGUGGAUAAGACAUGCAAGUCGAACGGGAUUAUUUUUGUAGCAAUACAGAAAUAAUUCAGUGGCGAACGGGUGCGUAACACGUGGGCAAUCUGCCGAAAAGUGGGGGAUAGCUCGCCGAAAGGCGAAUUAAUACCGCAUGUGGUGAGGGACGACAUCUUCCUGAAUCCAAAGCCGGGGCAACCUGGCGUCUUUUUGAGGAGCCCGCGGCCUAUCAGCUAGUUGGCGGGGUAACGGCCCACCAAGGCUAUGACGGGUAGCUGGUCUGA
rnacentral:rRNA from 1 species